rnacentral:rRNA from 1 species
AUUGAACGCUGGCGGCAGGCCUAACACAUGCAAGUCGAACGAGUGGCGGACGGGUGAGUAAUGUUUGGGAAACUGCCCGAUGGAGGGGGAUAACUACUGGAAACUGUAGCUAAUACCGCAUACCAUCGGAUGAUCCCAGAUGGGAUUAGCUAGUUGGUGGGGUAAAGGCUCACCAAGCCGACGAUCCCUAGCUGGUCUGAGAGGAUGACCAGCCACACUGGAACUGAGACACGGUCCAGACUCCUACGGGAGGCAGCAGUGGGGAAUAUUGCACAAUGGGGGCAAGCCUGAUGCAGCCAUGCCGCGUGUAUGAAGAAGGCCUUCGGGUUGUAAAGUACUUUCAGCGGGGAGGCGUUACUCGCAGAAGAAGCAUCGGCUAACUCCGUGCCAGCAGCCGCGGUAAUAC